UACAGAGGUGGCAAGCGUUGUUCGGAAUUACUGGGCGUAAAGGGCGCGUAGGCGGUUCGUACAGUCAGACGUGAAAUUCCUGGGCUCAACCUGGGGGCUGCGUUUGAUACGUGCGGACUUGAGUGCGGAAGAGGGUCGUGGAAUUCCCGGUGUAGUGGUGAAAUGCGUAGAUAUCAGGAAGAACACCCGUGGCUAAGGCGGCUCUCUAGUACGGUACUGACGCUGAGACGCGAAAGCGUGGGGAGCGAACAGG
rnacentral:rRNA from 1 species